rnacentral:misc_RNA from 1 species
GAUGAAGAACGUAGCGAAAUGCGAUAAGUAAUGUGAAUUGCAGAAUUCAGUGAAUCAUCGAAUCUUUGAACGCACAUUGCGCCCCCUGGUAUUCCGGGGGGCAUGCCUGUUCGAGCGUCAUUUCACCACUCAAGCCUCGCUUGGUAUUGGGCAACGCGGUCCGCCGCGUGCCUCAAAUCAACCGGCUGGGUCUUCUGUCCCCUAAGCGUUGUGGAAACUUUCGCUAAAGGGUGUUCGGGAGGCUACGCCGUAAAACAACCCCAUUUCUAAGGUUGACCUCGGAUCAGGUAGGGAUACCCGCUGAACUUAAGCAUAUCAAUAAGCGGAGGA